ACCGCUUGAGGGCUAUGAUUAAAAAAGUCCUUUAAUCUUUUCCAGACUUGAUAGAACGUUUCAUUGUCCUUUUGUGAAAAUGUGGAAAUCUGUCGUUUUAGACUGU